GCCUGGGUGGCACAGUCGGUUGAGCGUCGGACUUCAGCUCAGGUCAUGAUCUCACGGUUUGUGGGUUCGAGCCCCACAUCGGGCU
rnacentral:tRNA from 1 species